GACGAACGCUGGCGGCGUGCUUAACACAUGCAAGUCGAACGGAAAGGCCCUGCUUUUGUGGGGUGCUCGAGUGGCGAAAGUGUGAGUAACACGUGAGUAACCUGCCCUUGACUUUGGGAUAACUUCAGGAAACUGGUGCUAAUACCGGAUAGGAGCUCCUGCUGCAUGGUGGGGGUUGGAAAGUUUCGGCGGUUGGGGAUGGACUCGCGGCUUAUCAGCUUGUUGGUGGGGUAGUGGCUUACCAAGGCUUUGACGGGUAGCCGGCCUGAGAGGGUGACCGGCCACAUUGGGACUGAGAUACGGCCCAGACUCCUACGGGAGGCAGCAGUGGGGAAUAUUGCACAAUGGGCGGAAGCCUGAUGCAGCAACGCCGCGUGCGGGAUGACGGCCUUCGGGUUGUAAACCGCUUUCGCCUGUGACGAAGCGUGAGUGACGGUAAUGGGUAAAGAAGCACCGGCUAACUACGUG
rnacentral:rRNA from 1 species